rnacentral:tRNA from 1 species
UGCCUGUUGGUCAAGUGGUUAAGACACCGCCCUUUCACGGCGGUAACACGGGUUCGAAUCCCGUACGGGUCA